rnacentral:rRNA from 1 species
AACGAACGCUGGCGGCAGGCUUAACACAUGCAAGUCGAGCGCCCCGCAAGGGGAGCGGCAGACGGGUGAGUAACGCGUGGGAAUCUACCCAUCUCUACGGAAUAACGCAUGGAAACGUGUGCUAAUACCGUAUACGUCUUUCGGGAGAAAGAUUUAUCGGAGAGGGAUGAGCCCGCGUUGGAUUAGCUGGUUGGUAGGGUAAAGGCCUAUCAAGGCGAUGAUCCAUAGCUGGUCUGAGAGGAUGAUCAGCCACACUGGGACUGAGACACGGCCCAGAAUCCGACGGAAGGGAGCAGAGGGGAAUAUUGGAAAAUGGGGGCAAGCAUGAUCCAGCCAUGCCGCGUGAGUGAUGAAGGCCCUAGGGUUGUAAAGCUCUUUCACCGGUGAAGAUAAUGACGGUAACCGGAGAAGAAGCCCCGGCUAACUUCGUGCCAGCCGCCGCCGUAAUAC